CAGUCGCCGCGGGAACACGUAGGUGGCAAGCGUUGUCCGGAAUUAUUGGGCGUAAGGGGCUCGCAGGCGGUUUCUUAAGUCUGAUGUGAAAGCCCCCGGCUCAACCGGGGAGGGUCAUUGGAAGCUGGGAAACUUGAGUGCAGAAGAGGAGAGUGGAAUUCCACGGGUAGCGGUGAAAUGCGUAGAGAUGUGGAGGAACACCAGUGGCGAAGGCGACUCUCUGGUCUGUAACUGACGCUGAGGAGCGAAAGCGUGGGGAGCGAACAGGAUUAGAUACCCCUGUAGUCCCUGUCUCUUAUAC
rnacentral:rRNA from 1 species